CCUACGGGCGGCAGCAGUGAGGAAUAUUGGUCAAUGGACGAGAGUCUGAACCAGCCAAGUAGCGUGAAGGAUGACUGCCCUAUGGGUUGUAAACUUCUUUUAUAUGGGAAUAAAAUGUUCCACGUUUGGGAUUUUGUAUGUACCCUAUGAAUAAGGAUCGGCUAACUCCGUGCCAGCAGCCGCGGUAAUACGGAGGAUCCGAGCGUUUUCCGGUUUUAUUGUGGUUAAAGGGAGCGUAGGUGGAUUGUUAAGUCAGUUGUGAAAGUUUGCGGCUCAACCGUAAAAUUGGAGUUGAAACUGGCAGUCUUGAGUAGAGUAGAGGUGGUCGGAAUUCGGGGUGUAGAGGUGAAAUGCUUAGAUAUCACGAAGAAAUCCGAUGGCGAAGGCAGAUCACUGGACUGAAACUGACACUGAGGCUCGAAAGUGUGGGUAUCAAACAGGAUUAGAGACCCCGGGUAGUC
rnacentral:rRNA from 1 species